GACGUACAUAAAUUUUUUUUAUUCGUUUAUCUUAAUGCCAAAAUCUAUUAGAUGCGACCAUAUCGUGUGGUUCCGUGUCUAUAAAUUUUUCAUGAUUUGACCUCAAAUCAGGUAGGAACACCCGCUGAACUUAAGCAUAUCAAUAAGCGGAGGAAAAGAAAAUAACAAUGAUUCCCCUAGUAACUGCGAGUGAAGAGGGACAAGCUCAAAUUUUAAAUCUAUCGGGUUUUACCUGAUCGAGUUGUAAUUUGAAGAAGCGUUUUCUGCGUAUUUGGUCAGCCUAAGUACUAUUGAAUGAGGCAUCAUGGAGGGUGAUAAUCCCGUCCGGUUGAUCAUUUGCGUUUUACGAUACGCUUUCUAAGAGUCAAGUUGUUUGGGAUUGCAGCUUAAAAUGGGAGGUAAAUUUCUCCUAAGGCUAAAUAACGGCGAGAGACCGAUAGCGAACAAGUACCGUGAGGGAAAGAUGAAAAGAACUUUGAAAAGAGAGUUAAACAGUACGUGAAAUUGUUGAAAGGGAAACGAUUGAAGCCAGUCGUACCUUCGGGUAAUCAGCCUUUCGGGUGCGAUUCUGUGGAGUGUGAGGAGCUUAAACACCUUCAUGUUUUGCAUAUUCGUACUCUUGGGUGUACUUGCCCGUGUGGUUGGUUAACAUCAAUUUUGGUGGUCAUAAAAUGACUGGGGGAAUGUAGCUUCGAUCUUGUAUUGAAGUGUUAUAGCCUUCGGUAGAUGUGAUGAUCGAGAUUGAGGAUUGCAACGGAUACCCUUCGGGGCUACCUGNCUGNUCUCUGAUCGUUGCUCUGGUGCCGAAAGCUUGC
rnacentral:rRNA from 1 species